UUCGCGUAGGUAAACUGGAAUUGAAAAAAGUGCAAGAAACUGACUUGAUCCCUGCCAGAAAUGGAGGUGAAAUAUUCAGAGAUCAAGAAGAGAAAGAAAGAAAGAAAGAAAGAAAGAAAGAAAGAAAGAAAGAAAGAAAGAAAGAAAGAAAGAAAGAAAGAAAGAAAGAAAGAAAGGACUCCCCAUUCAGAGGUCCAAAGGGUAUUUAUAAAACCAGAAACUGUUUUGAUUUGCAAUGCCCCAUUUUAAGAGAGGCAGCAAAGUUUCCACAGGUGGCCUCUGGAAGUUCCCUGAAGCAUCCAGGGGAGGAUUUAGAGUUAAGGCCCUGGGUACAAAAGCCGCCUUUUACAACUUGGGCUGAUUUCCGAACACGCCUGAUUUCCAGGAAUCAGUGCAAGUUUCAGCAGAAACUGAAACUAAACAGGCUGCAUAAAAAGGACUCGCAUCCGCUCGAGCUUCACAAAAGCAUCGAAACCCCUCGCAGAGCGAAUAUAGCCGGUUUUGGCUCCUCUCCAGUCUGAACUUCAAAGACAAACAAGUUCCGACCUGAGUGUCUCUCUCUCUCUCUCUCUCUCUCUCUCGGGGGAGGGGGUAUUUCUUAUGGUGGUUCUCACGGCGUCUUUUACCAACAGGCCGAAAUGGCUGUCCAGCCCAAAGGGGCGCUUGCUACGAGAGCUGUGAUGAACAUUAGCAAAGCAGAGGAAGUCCGAAAGGAGACAGAACUGAUGAUGAAGCCCCAUGCAAAUUGGGAGGAGUAUCUGAUGCCUAGGCCCAUUUCCAUCGCCCUCUUAGGGGAGCUGGCUUGCAUUGCUGCAGGACAAGGAGACUUUGCCAUCAAUCUUGCCCCACCCGAGGGAGGCUACAAAUAUAUGAGGUAUCCGGACUCUUUCCAGGCCUCCCUGAUGCAGGUGAGCAACAGUGGGUGGCAUGCCUUCAGCAUAGCCCACAAGAAUAUGGAUGGUAUCCGGCUCCUUUCUAUGAGCGUCCCUGAGCAAAUCAAGAUGGUCAUGAAGACCUUAUUCCAGGAUGACCUUACCUUGAUAGAUGCCUUGCUCCCUGGACAGCUAUCCAGCCUGAAAUCAAUUGCAAAUGAAUGUUCCUCUUUGGCUAAGGCAGUUGACAAUAAGUUCUAUGAUGUCAUCUGUCUGACUGAGGAACUCCUGGAAGUGUGUAUGAGUUCCAAAUCACAGUAUGAACAAGGAUUGACGCAAACCAAACACGCCUUGGAAGACCUGAAGCUAAGAAAAGCAGCAGCUGAAGAAGCCCAGGCCAAAGCAGAGGAAUACUACAAGGAAGUAAAGAACAGAGUGACUGAUACGUUUGACGAUUAUAGAAAAGCGAUAGAUAGCAUUCCUACCGGCUGGAGUAGUGUAAUUCUGGAUUUCACUUCAACUGUAAGAGAAACCUUGACGGUGCCCAUUACCUGCCUGACAUCCUUGCUCAGCUUUAACAGAAAUAAAUUGCUUUCUCCAAUCGACAGCAGAAGUGAGGAAGAGUUUGAAAGUAGGGAUGACUUUAUAGCCAUGAACAACAUCUGUGCCCUGUCAGGUCAAAUGGUGGUAUUGGUGGACGGUCUUAAAACCGUGGUGGAUGAUGAAGGUAAUAUUGACAUGGAUGUCCUCUACAAUAAAAAAAACAACGAAAUCAAAACCAUAUGGAUCAAAAAGAAAUCCCAGCAACUGUUAGAGAAAAUAAAAAAAGAAAGAAACUGCAGCCUGAAAAAUGUGGCAGUGAAAAUAUGUAACGAUAUCAUCAAGAUUUCCAAUAUGUUAACUGAAAGAGCAGUAUCAGGGAACAUAAACCAGAAAAAACUGAUAAAGAAAAUGAACACCCUCUCGAUUGAUAUUGAGGUUUUCGACAGCAGAAGCAAAUUCUGCAGCCGCACAUCCCCUUUUGGUCCCAUGGCACCAAAUAUGGCCAAAUCCCAGAAAAAUGUCCAAGAAGACUCAUCGUUGUCAUCAGCGAUGAAAAACAGCCUUUUGAAAACCGAGCAAAUGAAAGAAAUACUGAAGAUGAGUCAAGAAGAGUACCAGAAAAGCUUUGACAACUUAAAGGAGCAGAAUAAGGAUUUGCUGGACGUGCUCAGUGAAAUGAGGAAAUGCGAAAUAAAGGAGAUUGAUUUUGAAAAAGCCCAAAAGAUGCUGAUCAAAGGCCUGGACCCCAUGGGAAGAGUGAAGGAGCAGUGGGAGAAAAUGGUGCAUUUCUUCCAGAUGAUCUCGAAUCUCAUUGAUUCCUGUCUCAAUAAGCGCCUGACGGAAUUUGUGAAAUCGGACGAAGAUCUUCCCCAAAUUCCAAAUUAUUCUCACCAAGACUUUGUCAUAGAUAUGAUCUAUAAACAGGCCUUCAAUGCGUCCAACAUAGCUCAUUUGGUGCACAUGAUAUCCGAGACCUACACAGACGUGUCUUCAAAAUACCUGAUGGAUAAUGUGGGCAGCCUGAGCAGGCUUAUUUCCAUGGACCCUUCUGAUCCCCAAUUCUGGAUGGAGCGGAUCAAACUAGCAGACGGCUGUGACAAUGCCCGAAAAGCGAUAGAGGACCUGGUCAUUAAGCAAAAGAAAGAAUUUGAAAAUAACAUCCAUGCCAGAGUGGCCAAAAUCAAUUCUGAGCUGAAGGCUGUCUUGCCAGAAGUGCCGGAAGCGGAGAGGAAAGCGAUCGAAUAUAAUGUGCACAAAGGAAUGAGGGAAAUCACCGAGGAUGAAGCUGAUCAAUUCAUGUAGAAAUGUCUUUCAAUCUAUGAGGGAAAUGGAGGCAGUCUAGGCCAGGGGUAGGCACCUUUGGCUCAUUUAUGACUCGUGAACUUUAACUUCCAGAAUUCGUGAGCCAGCAUAGCUGGCUCAGGAAUUCUGGGAGUUGAAGUCCACGAGUCAUAAAAGAGCCAAGGUUGCCUACCCCUGAUCUAGGCUCUUCUGUAUUAUUGCAUUUCCCUCAGAGUAAUAGGAUGUGAAUUGGGCCACUCAAUCAUCUUGUAUUUGCUAAAACUAGAAAACCAAGAAACGGCUAUAGAUAUUGCCAUUCAGGAUCUAUUCUGAACCAUAUAGCUCUAUGUAUCCCUAACGAGUGAGCAUGUAUCAGUAUGUUAGAAUAUCUGGCAGUUAUUGGGUUAAAUGCUACGUAUGUUGAUGGGUCAGUGGGAGGAGUCUCAAAAGGUCAUUGGUCAUUGGGAGACUUCCUGGACACAAGCCAGAUGGGAAUGCCUUUUUUCAUCCAGCUUCAUGUCUCCUAGCCACACGGCUUGGAGAUCCUUUGCCAACAUGUGAUGCUUAGCAGAAGAAGAGGGGAAAAUUCAAUAUCAAUUUACCUGUGGAAUAAACCAAUAUUGCAAAUAUGUUUCUGGACGUAGCUACAUAAGAGCCGAAAUGGCUGUCCAGCCCAAAGGUGCGCUUGCUACGAGAGCCGUGAUGAACAUUAGCAAAGCAGAGGAAGUCCAAAAGGAGACAGAACUGAUGAUGAAGCCCCACGCAAAUUGGGAGGAGUAUCUGAUGCCUGGGCCCAUUUCCAUCGCCCUCUUAGGGGAGCUGGCUUGCAUUGCUGCAGGACAAGGAGACUUUGCCAUCAAUCUUGCCCCACCCGAGGGAGGCUACAAAUAUAUGAGGUAUCCGGACUCUUUCCGGGCCUCCCUGAUGCAGGUGAGCAACAGUGGGUGGCAUGCCUUCAGCAUAGCCCACAAGAAUAUGGAUGGCAUCCGGCUGCUUUCUAUGAGCAAAUCA